rnacentral:rRNA from 1 species
CUACGACAUCUCCCAAAAAUUUGAGGACGCCGGAGUCGUUAGGUUGAGUGUGUGUGUGUGUGUGUGUGUGUGUGUGUGGAGUGGUGGGCCGGCCGUCGUUUUGGUACCUUCCUUCGUCCGGCGGCAAGGCUCGCUAGGCCGGCUCGUUUCCAUUCCCUCCGGUAGAAUGUACACGGUCAGUUCGCCGGUCCGAGCGGGUGUAGGAAUGUGAUGACAGCAGCGACGAGCAAAGAACACCUCAGCCGUGGUAGGAAAACAUUACUUUGAUUUUACCAAGUUGUAGAGGAAACCUAACAGUAACCUAUUUGAAGACAUAGCGUUAUAUUUAGAGUACGUUCUCGCUACUCUCGCCUCCUCUCGCUCCGCCUUUGCUCCGGCGGACUCCGCUAGCGGCUAGAAGGCGCCAGCCGCGCGAGGAGCGGGCAUCCGCCGCGUCCCCCCGGCCGUGUCUAGCCAAGAACAAGAGAGUCAGGAGCGCGCCACCACAGCUGCUCUCCCUUCCUACCCGGCUGCCCUAGACCGCCCCUGGUACAGCGGAGCGGCGUCGAACAGUCGCCUGCCCUCCUCUCUGCUACCUUAGUUACCGCCCAAAGAAAACGACUGUCCAGCCUAGGCCCGCAUACCUAGCUUCCCGCGGAAGCUAAUUGAAACGGAAGCGCGACCUACCGCGAGGAGCUAGACCUCUUACUUCACGAGCGGCCGCUGAUGGAAGGCCUGCCGCUGCACUAACUCCACCCCAAAGUUAAGUUAAAACUAAGAAUAUAGCACCAACAGCCGCUAACGCACGUCUAGCUGCAUGCGUGUUUCCGUUGCCUCUACUAACUGAACUGCCCCAUGUACCGCUACCGCUACCACCUCGGCCCCCGCAGCUGUAGACGGGCGCUUCAACGAAGGCCACUAGCGGCCUCCCACCCACCCUCUAAAACCCACGACCGCCUACUACUGUCGCCCCUACUGCUCCAUCUACUGCCCGCGAGGCCUCCUAGCUACUGGACGAGCGGAUGAGGGAGCCUAUAAGAAACACUCCGAACGAGGCCGGUUCUACUCCUUCUCCACCGUCUCUACCACCUCUUCCAGCAGGGAGGGCUCCUGGGCCGUUCCUUGCCUGACGUCAGGCCGCUCUUCAACCUCGACGAGGCCGCACAGCACGUAGCCUCCUACCGCAGCUUGCGUGGAGCCGGGACCUCCCCAGGUUAAGGGUUCCAACAUAAGGCACGAUGCCGCAACUAGGCAUACACCAGGGAUGAGUGAGGCUGCCUCCGGUCCCUCGCAAACCAAUGACCUAUACAGGCCACCCUCUACCAUCGCGCCCUAUAUAAGUUGGCCAAACCUACCGCCAGUACAUUAUCCUAUCCGUUAAUCAAAAGGAUGGAAAUAAAGACGGUCGGCCAACACCGAAAUAUUGAAAAAACAAAAGUACAGCUCCAGAUACACUCGAGCUGUAACAAAAGAAAAUGCUGAGAAUCUGAAACAACUUGGAUAAAAUAAAUAUAUACAACGGCAUACGUAGAAGGUCUACGUCUCCGGCCCCUCAGGGGGGAAAAGGUUUUUUUUUU